CAAAGCCUCUCCAUGAAAUUCCAAAGUCAACAGUCAAACACACCUCAACUCCUCUCCUACCCACUGCAGUGAAAAUAAGGAUAUUUACUUUUUUCUCUCUAGCUUCUAUCACCAUCAUGGGCAGUCUCACUCAACAUAUGUGUUAGAUAUGUAAGAUCUACAUGCAAAAAGUUGGGGUGGGUAAAAUUAGAGGGUGUAGAGGUGAAAUUAGCAUCUUGAGUAAGAGGGACAGAAAGAGCUGUGAAGAACACAUAAUGCUACUAAGAGACAUUACUCCUUACUUCUCUUUUCUUCCUUCACCAGGAUCUAAAGAUGGUACCAGAGAUUUUUCUCUUUGUUGCUACACUUUUACCUUUGGUAACCAUUUCUGCAAAAUAGUUGGAUCCAAACAAGUUGUCUUUGAAACAUUUUGACUAAAUUGUAUAGUGAGAAGACUUCUGCUUCCAGACAUGGUAAAGUGACAGGGACCAAAUCCUAAACAAGGCAUGAGAAAAAAACAAAGAUGGUGAGAUCUGUUGAGAUCUGUAAAGGAUACAGAGAUGGAAGAAGCAGCAACACGUGAGAGCUCUGGAGAAUGGAAUGGGGAGUACAUCACUCCACGGAAUCUCUUUGCUACUGUUUUCUUUAGAAACAACUCACAGUUGUGUGGGCUGGCAGAAGAGGAGAAAACAGUUCCUGCAUCCCAACCAGAGAGAAAUUUGACUUCAAGAAAGGAAACCGCCUCCAAGGAAGAACAAAAAGAAACCAGUGCCUCUCCAAAGGCUAUCAGAGGCUAGCAAGCAAGAGACCAGUAUUUCUGCAUCUCAUUAUUGGACCACCAAGACAAGCAGCUGAGCCUCAUUCUGUCCAGGAGCAAAUCUGGUGACUCCCUCGAGAUGGAGCUGUGGUCAGUGGCCAAUGGCUAGCAAGGAGAUGGUCAUCGGGAGACCCCAGCAACUGCCUGGUAUGGUUUUUCCUGGGGACUCUCUGAGGACCUUUCUGGCUACAAAGACUACACCAUCCCUCUAUUACUGGGAAAGAAGAGAGAUUGGGAACAGUUGCACUCAAAGGUUAAGCAAAGCUGGACCCUAAGCCAGGAGUCUAUUAUUUCUUCUAUUUGGGCUCAUGUAGCCAUUUGUUUGGGUACUAUGGAGGUAAUAAUAGGACUUCUUGGGAUAUGUGUUUUGCAUUUGUUUGAGGAAUUCAUUUAUAUUUGUUUUUGAAAAUUUGUUUGUUCUGUUUGUUUGAUAUUUGUUAAGUUUAGAGUACUCAGUAUGAUCAACACUGCAUCUACCCCUACAAAUAGUCCUCUAGGGAGACUUUUAUCAGAUUGAAAGCACUUUGGUUAUCCACUCAUAACUAAAAGAAAUUAAUCUUCUAUUUUGACACAGCCUGGCCAAUGUGUGUUUUGGAAUCUAAGGAACUGUGACCAGUUUUUGGAUCUUUACAUGUCCAUACUAUUUAUCAAUUAAAAUUGCUGUGCCGAGGUCAGACAAAUGGGGUGAAAUAUCUUACUUUGAGACAUUUAUGUUGCUGCAUAAUAAGGAUGCUAAAGAAAAAGAAAAUAAGUUAAUGAUGCAAGGCACUGCUAAAGCCUAUCCUGACACCCCAGGGGAGGAACAGAAAACUUCUGAAACCCAACAGUUUAUGAAUAUACUGAACCCUAUAGUAGCUACUGCCCCAGCUCAGGAAAGAGAGGGGAUGUCACCUCCAGAGUGCAGGGAGACAGCAGGGCUACUGUCUCCCUCUUGGACUAGGCAAGAUACUAAUUUUGGUCAGGGAAUCAGCAAGUCUGGAGCUGGGCAGUUCCAACUAGAGCAAUAUCUAGUAGGAGUCAAUCAGUAAGGAGCUCCAGUGGGAUAUAUUGGGCUUAUAAUAUCACAAUAUUGGCUACACACUGUGCCAUCUGGGCAGAUGUGCAUGCAGGCUCUUCUAAACAUGCUCAUGGCAGAUAAGUGGUGACUGGUUUUAAAUGAAGCAAAGGAAGAGCCACAACAUCUUCACAAUGAACAUCCAGAACCUGAUGGAGCAAUUCCUUGCACAGAUCUAAACUGGAAUAUUGUAGCAGACAUACAUCCCACUGUAGCUAACCCAUAUACUAUGUCCAUUUCUCUUCCUGGAGAUCAUAAAUCAUUUAUAGUAUUGGAUUUGAAAUAUGCUUUCUUGGCCAGGCGUGGUAGUUGAUGCCUGUAAUUCCAGCACUUUGGUGAGCUGAGGUAGGUGGAUCACUUGAGGUCAGGAGUUCAAGACCAGCCUGGCCAACAUGGUAAAACCCUGUCUCUACUAAAAAUACAAAAAUUAGCUGUGUGUGAUGCCAGGUGCCUGUAAUCUCAGUUACUUAGGAGGCUAGGCAGGAGAAUCAGUUGAACCAGGGAGGCGCAGGUUGCAGUGAGCCAAGAUUGUGCCAUUGCACUCUAGCCUGCGUAACAAGAGCAAAACUCCAUCUCCAGAAAAAAAA